rnacentral:rRNA from 1 species
UACGAAGGGGGCUAGCGUUGUUCGGAAUCAUUGGGCGUAAAGCGCGCGUAGGCGGCCCGGUAAGUCCGCUGUAAAAGUCAAAGGCUCAACCUUUGAAUGUCAGUGGAUACUGCCGGGCUAGAGUCCGGAAGAGGCGAGUGGAACUCCUGGUGUAGCGGUGGAAUGCGCAGAUAUCAGGAAGAACACCGACGGCGAAGGCAGCUCGCUGGGACGGUACUGACGCUGAGGCGCGAAAGCGUGGGGAGCGAACAGG